rnacentral:rRNA from 1 species
UGGGGAAUAUUGCACAAUGGGCGCAAGCCUGAUGCAGCCAUGCCGCGUGUAUGAAGAAGGCCUUCGGGUUGUAAAGUACUUUCAGUCGGGAGGAAGGUGGUAAGGUUAAUAACCUUGGGAAUUGACGUUACCGACAGAAGAAGCACCGGCCAACUCCGUGCCAGCAGCCGCGGUAAUACGGAGGGUGCAAGCGUUAAUCGGAAUUACUGGGCGUAAAGCGCACGCAGGCGGUUGAUUGAGUCAGAUGUGAAAUCCCCGGGCUUAACCCGGGAAUUGCAUCUGAUACUGGUCAGCUAGAGUCUUGUAGAGGGGGGUAGAAUUCCAUGUGUAGCGGUGAAAUGCGUAGAGAUGUGGAGGAAUACCGGUGGCGAAGGCGGCCCCCUGGACAAAGACUGACGCUCAGGUGCGAAAGCGUGGGGAGCAAACAGG